AUGAUGAUUUAUCAUGAUUUCUCUGUUUUCUUACGGUUCGAUUCUCGUGUGUGCGACAACGUUUUUUGUAACUCUUUGCUUCUCCUCGAUUCCAUAACCUUUGAACAAUCGCAUCAAGUUUUCGGAUGAUGAUGAUGAUGCUUAGUUGAUGAUGAUGCUGAUGCUUUCUCUUGUUUUUAUGGUUCGAUUCUCGUGUGUGUGAAAGAUUAUGUGUAUCUUGCCUCUUUCUCUCGGUUCGAUUCCAUAACCUUUGAACAAUCGUUUAGAUACAUGAAGUUUUCUGAUGAUGAAGGUGAUGAUGAUGAUGAUGAUGUUGAUGUUGAUGAUGAUGCUUCGUUGACGAUGAUUAAUUGAUGAUGCGUAACUGUUGUUGAUGAUGACCAUGAUCAUGUUUUCUCUGUUUUUUACGGUUCGAUUCUCGUGUGUGUGAGAACGUUUAUGUAACUAUUUGCUUCUUUCUCUCGAUUCGAUUCUAUAACCUGAGAACUAAUCGCAUGAAGUUUUCGGAUGAUGAUGAUUACUUGAUGAUGAUGCUGAUGCUUUCUCCGUUUUUUGUGGUUCGAUUCUCGUGUGUGCGAAAGAUUUUGUGUGUCUUUGCUUCUUCUCUGGAUUCGAUUCCAUAACCUGGUUCUAGAUCACUAUAACAUCACAAUAACAUCUUUGAUUCAUUAAUUUGGUUCACAUUGAUUCUUCCUCUCUCAUCCUCUGUUUUGUUUUUUACAUUCCCUUUGGCUUAGUAACGUUGGUUUUUGAUGUUUUUCUCUUGGCAGGUGGCCGAUAUGCCUCUUUUCAAUUUCAAAGAGUACAUUGAUGGAUACUCAGGACGUGUUAAGCUGUUGAGGAUUCACCACUUGGUGAAAAAUGGACUCUUGGAUGAAGAGGAUGAGCUCAAGGCUUUGAAGAUAUCAUUUGAUGAGCUCACAGUUGGGACACCUAAUUGGAGAAUUUCUACGGAUUCUAAGUUGCUAUAGGCUGUCUCCACACUUAUCAAUGGAAGAUUAGGCCCACACUACACAACAACUCUGGAAACCGUCAAGAAUAUGAAUUUGGUCUACAAUGAACUAGUUGACAAUCUAACAUGUCCCUUGAGACUGAAGCUUGCUCGUGAAGAAGAAAAUGAAGAUGCUGAGAAGCAAGCGGAGAUACAACGCAUGACCCAUGUUCAUGGAUAGUUUCAGUACCGUAGUGGUUAUCCCUUGGAAGCUUACAACACUCUAAGUAAGAUCCAUGCGUCUAUUUUUCUUAUGAUUUCGGUAUUCGAGUGCCAAAAGUUCGAGGAUGUUUGCCGAUACAUUCCCAAAACUAGUGGCGAUGGUACUAGAAGAUUUCAUUUCAAAUCAAUAUGUGUCCGAGCCUUAGCACACAUGGCUAGAGGAUGUGGAGAUCACUACUACACGGCCGCUCGUUUGUUUGAUCAUUUGAUCAAGUUCUCUAAUAAAUGGAAAACGACAACACUGCUAGUGCUUGUGACAAAAUGGUGAAGAUAAAAUGCCUUUUAGAAAAAUCAUAGAUGCUAAAGUUGUUGGGAUUAAAGCUUCCAUGAU